GUGCUCACUUUGACAGCACAUAUACUAAACUGGGAAUGACGCGGAGAUGAUUAGCACAGCCCCUAACAAGGAUGCCACACAAAUUUGUGCAGUGUUCUAUAUUAAA